GUCCAGACUCCUACGGGAGGCAGCAGUGGGGAAUAUUGCACAAUGGGGGGAACCCUGAUGCAGCGACGCCGCGUGAGUGAAGAAGUAUUUCGGUAUGUAAAGCUCUGUCAGCAGGGAAGAAGAAAGACGGUACCUGACCAAGAAGCCCCGGCUAACUACGUGCCAGCAGCCGCGGUAAUACGUAGGGGGCGAGCGUUAUCCGGAUUCACUGGGUGUAAAGGGAGCGUAGACGGCCAUGCAAGCCAGGGGUGAAAGCCCGGGGCCCAACCCCGGGACUGCCCUUGGAACUGCAUGGCUGGAGUGCGGGAGGGGCAGGCGGAAUUCCUGGUGUAGCGGCGAAAUGCGUAGAUAUCAGGAGGAACACCGGCGGCGAAGGCGGCCUGCUGGACCGCGACUGACGUUGAGGCUCGAAAGCGUGGGGAGCAAACAGGAUUAGAUACCCGGGUAC
rnacentral:rRNA from 1 species